rnacentral:rRNA from 1 species
AUUGAACGCUGGCGGAAUGCUUUACACAUGCAAGUCGAACGGCAGCACGGACUUCGGUCUGGUGGCGAGUGGCGAACGGGUGAGUAAUGUAUCGGAACGUGCCCAGUCGUGGGGGAUAACGUAGUGAAAAUUACGCUAAUACCGCAUACGAUCUAUGGAUGAAAGCGGGGGAUCGCAAGACCUCGCGCGAUUGGAGCGGCCGAUAUCAGAUUAGGUAGUUGGUGGGGUAAAGGCCCACCAAGCCAACGAUCUGUAGCUGGUCUGAGAGGACGACCAGCCACGAUGGAACUGAGACACGGUCCAGACUCCGACGGGAGGCAGCAGUGGGGAAUUUUGGACAAUGGGCGAAAGCCUGAUCCAGCCAUUCCGCGUGCAGGAUGAAGGCCCUCGGGUUGUAAACUGCUUUUGUACAGAACGAAAAGGUUUCUACUAAUACUAGGAGCUCAUGACGGUACUGUAAGAAUAAGCACCGGCUAACUACGUGCCAGCCGCCGCUGUAA